UUUUUUUGUUUCUUGUUUUUCAAUCAUAUUUAUUAAAUUUUGAACUUUUCAAACAAAUUUAUCUUUGGUCAUUCUCACCUAUGCCUUAACAAUUUACAAGAGACAAGGAUUUUUUAGGUUGAUUUUUUUUUUAUUUGACCAAUUGUAUAAUUGGGGUAGAGUUAGAAAAGCUUUUGAACGUUAGAUCUUCCUCAAGUCUGUGAAGUAAAAGCCAGCUUAGUAAAAAAGUUGGAAAGGAGAUUGAGGGUGGCAUUCCAGGGAACAACAGACAAAUAGCAGAAGAAUAAAAGCUAAUACUGGAAGGCCAAAGCCUAUCAAAAAGGAGGACGGUUAUCAAUUUACUUCAUCAUCUGCUCAUUUCUACAUUUUUGUUAAUAUUGUACUGUUUUUCUUAAAGAAAUUUAAGCUUAACUUGAAGAUGAAUGAAACCCCUGUCAUUAUGCCAAGGAAGAGAAAAGCAUCAUGAUUUCUCAGUAUACUUCUUUUCCUUUUUUGGGUUUAUCUUAGGAACUGUUUUUCAGACCAGUGUAAGGAUCUUAUACAGACAAGAGGGAAGGGAAGAUGAUAUAAAACUAUUGAAGGAAGCAUAUAUUUCAUGUAGACAUUUUUUCAGAAUUUUCAGUGUCAGAAUGUGCAUCAUUCUCUCUUUCUGAAGUAAAGCCUGAAGCUACCUUGUUUUCCCAAAGGCUUAACUUUUUUGGAAAUUUUAACUCAGUAUCCCCUGUACUGAACUGUGAGAUCAACUUGUUUACUUCAGCUUUUGCCUAGCUUUUCAUUAUACCACUUGUAUAUUUAAGGGCCAAAUUUUCAUCUACAUUACAGAAUAUUUGCAACACUGGCAAUAUAAUGAGAUGUUGAAGUGGUCCUACAAUCAUUUGCAUAGUAAUUUAUACCCACUUUAAGGCCCUUUGUGCAUCUAAGAAGCAGUAAAGGAGUCUUACUGUAGAUGUGAAUAAGACCAUAUAUGUUAAUAUACCCCAUACCCAUCUAGUCUGCCAGAAUCAAGCUAUUUCACCUACAGGCUCAGCAGCAGCAUAGUGUGAAAAGAGAUGCUCUUCUUUUACCCCCAUUGAUCAAUUUUGCAACUUUGUUCUUACCUGACUUAAUAUGCGUAGAGUUUUGCUCUCUUCUUCUCUUACCAUGUUUUUAAUCUAUUCAAGUAAAGUCUUUUGUAUUCAUGGGGUGGAGUUCCUUUGAGCUACAUUUUUUACGAUUAUAAAGUUUCUCAGAUAGGUUUCAAGGGAUUCCCACUAUGUUAAAGGGGAUUCAACACAGCUUUUAUUUCCUUUUGUCUCAGAUUGUAAAAUCUGGAUAGUUAAGAAAUGGAAUACUUCCUCCAAGGAAUUAGUUAUCUGUCUAGCUAUAAAUAGAAUGCUGCCAUUGCAUGGCUAGAGAUAUAUUCAGAGGUUAUAGUUAUGUGAGCUUUUCAGAAGUCAAACAUAACUCAGUCUAACAGGAUUGCUCUUUCUGCACAGAAGAGCAGUGCAUAAAAAUACCUCUCUUUAAAAAACAUGUUCCUCCAAAGGGUAGCCAAAUAUAAUUAUUUCAUGUGAUGGUGUAUAAUUGGGUUGACUUGGAAUUCCCCUUCUUGUAACACUUUUAAUCUGGCCAUUACGUUUGACAGGGUAAGGUUAAAUCUCCUCCUAUCACCAGUUAGGGACUUCUGUUAGGUCUAAGAAUAACUCACACAAAGAGGAUGGAAAGUCUCCAUUUGGGGCAUGCACAUUAAUUACCAUAUCAGUCUGUGAAUUUAUCUUUGCUGGCAGGAGGACAUACCUUGCUGCCUUAUCAGUAUUUCUUGCAUAUAGAUGAAAAUUGAGUUUCUUGAUGAUUGAAAUUGUCAUUCAGCUUGAAUAAGUACAUCCUGGUGAAAUAAAAACAUUCAGAAUAUCCCCUGCCACUACACUGUUGGAUCCUUUUUGCCAUAAGACUCCCUUCUCUCUCUCCUUCUAAAAGAACUAAAAUAAUACAUGUUUCUAUUUUAGUAACUAAUUUAAUUCUUAUCAGAUUCCAUAUGCGUGUGUGUGUGUGUACAUACGCGCAUACACAUGCACACUUUUAAUCUGACAUUACUUAUAUGGAUACCAUUUGAAGUAUUAGAGGUAGCUGCUUUAUGAUCCAGUAAGACUUAUCUUAUUCUUCCAAAUUUCUUUUCUGUUUUCUUUUUCUCCUUAGAAGUCAUUUAAAACAUUAAUUUCCAUAAAUAGCUGUUUUUCAUAUUUAAGUAAAUCAGACUUACAAACAAUAGGAUCCCUAUUCUGUAAACUUACGCACAACUAUAGGCCAAUCCUUCCAGAAACAGAGCGCCGACUUCAACAGUGUUUUUCAGCACCUCAUAAUAUCAAGCACCUUGCAGGAUUUGUUAAAAAUGUGAUUAGUCCUGUUGAAGUUAGAAUUAUUUGCUGAAAUGCUUUCUGCUGUUUACUCUAUCAUUGGAUUUAUCAUCAUCAUAAUCUUCACAGCAAGAUUGGAAAAUAAACCUUGGAUUUGUGCUGUCAAAACUGCAAAGCUAGAGUGCCUGCUAUUCAUAUAAACUUAAUUUAUCAUUUUAAAUAUUUCCUUUACCGACUCAGCUUGUCUUCAUUUAUAUUUUGUCUCGAUAACAAUUGACCUUUCAAGUUAUGACUGACAGAGGCUGCUCCUUCAAAUGAACUCCGUUGGAAAGUCCCACUCUACUCAGCAUCAAGAAGUUGUGAAUUUUGGACCACAUACUCUACUUAAUAAAAGUACCUCAACAGCAUCCACUUACGUUGCCGUCACCUCGUUCUAGGAAUUUUCUGGUGCCACCAAGUCGCCCAUGCUCAGGGGUUGGAAUGUGCCCACAUUCUAAGAAUCCAUUCUCUUCUCAGUCAAGAUCAAUUUUGAUGGCUCAGUCAUAUGCAGAGAAUGAAUGAUGGCCAUAUACCCAAGGAUCUCUUGUAUGGAGAACUCUUCAGAGGAAGAAGACCAUGUCAAUGUCCUUAUCUCCAUUUCAAAGAUGUUUGCAAGAGUGAUAUGAAAGCAAUGAACAAAUGACUGGGAGAAGAUUGAUCAGGAUCAUAGCACUUGCAAACAGCCUAUUAAGUAUGGAAUGAAGGCUUUUGA